rnacentral:rRNA from 1 species
GAACCGGAGCUAAUACCGGAUAAUAUUUUGAACCGCAUGGUUCAAAAGUGAAAGACGGUCUUGCUGUCACUUAUAGAUGGAUUCGCGCUGCAUUAGCUAGUUGGUAAGGUAACGGCUUACCAAGGCAACGAUGCAUAGCCGACCUGAGAGGGUGAUCGGCCACACUGGAACUGAGACACGGUCCAG